ensembl:lncRNA
CAGGCAGGCAGGCAGGCAGGCAGACAGACAGACAGACAGACAGACAGAUCGCCAGGCAGACAGACAAAAAUACAGAACGACAGAGGGACAGACAAACAGACAGGCAGGCUGGCAAACAGAAAGACAGACCGACUAACUGAAAAAUGACCCAAACCCUUAACCUUGCCCUGCUCUUGCCUUCUCUCUAAAAGGAUAUAUUGCUCUCUGCUGUGUAUCUACUGUUGCAGUGAUGUCAUCAGGAAUGUGAAAACCCGACUGAAACCGACCCGGGGUUCUGAUCCGCUGCGGACAAGGACGGCUCCUGUGCCCGACCACUUCCCGUACGUAGACGGGGGUAAUAAUCUGAGAAGCCCCAUCAUGGAAAGAGCCCGUAAGAGGACUGGCAGCGAGGGGAAACUUCCGCCAAACUCACAUCUGGAUUGGAGUUUUGUUUGUCGAUUUUGUUGAUUUGGUUUCCACCUGGGUUUAUUUUAAUACAUGUAUUGUGUACAUAAGUGUAUAGAUAUAAUCUGUUUCAAAGUGGUAGUGCCUUUGGUAUUUUUACCGUAUUAGCUUGUUUGAUCGCAGUUUUCUUUAUUGCUGCUACUGUGACACUGUAAUGAAUAAAGUGUUGACCUCUUCUCGUUCCUUUCUGGAAUCGUAAGGAUUUCUUCAGGGGCCUCGAUCACUAGGGAGCUGCAAUAGAGGGGCCCUCACUGGCUUAAGGGCCCCCAGCUGUCCUGAGUGGAGUUCGAAAUUUUCGGUCAUUUCAUUAUCUGUAUGUUUGGGGACCUAGCCUGCUAUUGUGGAAUAUUUCAGAUUAAAACUCGAUUUCAGGAUCUACAUGUGGCGUGAUAUGUGACCAGUUAUUCUGCAUCUUCAAACUAGGGUGACAUUAGUGCAAUAUCUCUCAUCACACGUGUAUUUAAAG